AACGGGAAACGAUGCUAGCUUGCUAGCAGGCGUCGAGUGGCGGACGGGUGAGUAAUGCAUAGGAAUCUACCUAAUAGUGGGGGACAACCUAGUGAAAACCAGGCUAAUACCGCAUAAUCCCUACGGGGCAAAGCAGGGGACCUUCGGGCCUUGCGCUAAUAGAUGAGCCUAUGUCGGAUUAGCUAGUUGGUGAGGUAAUGGCUCACCAAGGCAACGAUCCGUAGCUGGUUUGAGAGGAUGAUCAGCCACACUGGGACUGAGACACGGCCCAGACUCCUACGGGAGGCAGCAGUGGGGAAUAUUGCACAAUGGAGGAAACUCUGAUGCANCAAUGCCGCGUGUGUGAAGAAGGCCUUAGGGUUGUAAAGCACUUUCAGUAGGGAGGAAAAGUUUAAGGUUAAUAACCUUAGGCCCG
rnacentral:rRNA from 1 species